GUUCCCUGCAAGACGGAGGUAACAGAUUGCACAAAUACAUUGAAACAUUUUCAGCUGUUCACUAACACUGUUACAUUUUCUGGAAUUUUCAAUUGAAUGGGAGAAUACGAGAGACGAAUGCCCAAUUUUUCAAGAAGAAGAAAACGAAAAGCGCAGUUUAUUUUGGAUUUUAAAGAGAGAAACUAAAAGGCUUAACAAGGAGAAAAAGGUAA